rnacentral:rRNA from 1 species
UACGGAGGGUGCAAACGUUGCUCGGAAUUAUUGGGCGUAAAGCGCACGUAGGCGGUCUAGCAAGUCGGGUGUGAAAGCCCUCAGCUUAACUGAGGAAGUGCAUUCGAAACUACUAGGCUUGAGUACUGAAGAGGACGACGGAAUUCCCGGUGUAGAGGUGAAAUUCGUAGAUAUCGGGAGGAACACCAGUGGCGAAGGCGACUACCUGGCCUGUUUCUUGACGCUGAGGCGCGAAAGCUAGGGGAGCAAACGGG